rnacentral:rRNA from 1 species
AGAGCGAACGCUGGCGGCAGGCCUAACACAUGCAAGUCGAGCGCGUGUAGCAAUACACGAGCGGCAGACGGGAGAGUAACACGUGGGAACGCGCCCUUCGGUUCGGAAUAACUCAGGGAAACUUGAGCUAAUACCGGAUACGCCCUUACGGGGGAAAGAUUUAUUGCCGAAGGAACGGCCCGCGUCCGAUUAGCUAGUUGGUGAGGUAACGGCUCACCAAGGCGACGAUCGGUAGCUGGUCUGAGAGGAUGACCAGCCUCACUGGGACUGAGACACGGCCCAGACUCCUACGGGAGGCAGCAGUGGGGAAUAUUGGACAAUGGGCGCAAGCCUGAUCCAGCCAUGCCGCGUGGAUGAUGAAGGCCUUAGGGUUGUAAAGUCCUUUUAACGGGGAAGAUAAUGACGGUACCCGUAGAAUAAGCCCCGGCUAACUUCGUGCCAGCAGCCGC